rnacentral:rRNA from 1 species
AGGACGAACGCUGGCGGCGUGCUUAACACAUGCAAGUCGAGCGGUAAGGCCCUUUCGGGGGUACACGAGCGGCGAACGGGUGAGUAACACGUGAGCAACCUACCCUUCACUUCGGGAUAAGCCUCGGAAACGGGGUCUAAUACCGGAUAUCACUGACUACUUCAUGGUGGUUGGUUGAAAGUUCUGGCGGUGGGGAUGGGCUCGCGGCCUAUCAGCUUGUUGGUGGGGUAAUGGCCUACCAAGGCGACGAC